rnacentral:lncRNA from 1 species
GGAAGCUGGGAGGGCGCUGCAACCGACCCACGCAGUCCAGUGACCAGAAGACCCCCGGUCGGGCCCCGGAGAUGAGAGGAGGCGCCGGCUGGACUGUCUCCCUCAGGUGGCUCCGCUUCGGAGACCGCGCUGAGGGGACGAGGCUCGGAGAAAGUAAUUCGGGUGUGACAGAGAGCAAGGGGGGGUGAGGAGGGGAGGGUCGUGGACGGACGAGGCUCCUUCGCCCGCCUCAGCUGCUGUCCCUCGCGCGCGGACACGCGGGUGCGUCUGGAUGCUCGGAGUUUCUCGCGCUCCGUGAGGGAAGCGGGAGAAGAGACACCUGUCAGAAAACAAAACCCGAAGCCCAGCGCGCGCUGCGUGGCGUCGCGUGACGGGGGGGGGGGAGGGGCGGGCGAGGAAAGUUUUCCUCAGGCUCCCGCUUCGCAGCGGGGAUCGGUGCCUCCUGAGGCGUGGGCCAAAGAGCCUCCCCUCCUCUCAGGAGGCUGGCCAGGCAGAGAGGCGCGCUGCUCCUCCGGGUUUCAGAAUAUCAUCCCGACCGCCGGGAGAGCGGAGGGCUCCCUGCAGGGAGAUGGGAGCUCUUUACAGGAAGGAGAGUCCGCUUCUUCGGAGCGCUUCCUCGCUGGCGUGGGUUUGGGUUUGGGUUUCCCUAGCUCAACAUCAAAAAAACGAAGAUCAUGGCCACUGGGCCCAUCACCUCCUGGCAAAUAGAAGGGGAAGAAAGGGAGGCAGUGAGAGAUUUGACUUUCUUGGGCUCCAUGAUCACUGCAGAUGGUGACAGCAGCCACAAAAUUAAAAGAUGCCUGCUCCUUGGGAGAAAAGCAAUGACAAACCUAGGCAGCAUCUUAGAAAGCAGAGACAUCAUCUUGCCAACAAAGGUCUGUCUAGUCAAAGCCAUGGUUCCCCCAGUAGUGAUGUAUGGAAGUGAGAGCUGGACCACAAAGAAGGCUGAACCCCAAAGAAUGGAUGCUUUUGAAUUCUGGUGCUGGAGGAGACUCUUGAGAGUCCCAUGGGCUGCAAGAAGAUCAAACCUUUCCAUUCUGAAGGAAAUCAGCCCUGAAUGCUCACUGGAAGGACAGAUCCUGAAGCUGAAGCUCCAGUACUUUGGCCACCUCAUGAGAAGAGAAGACUCCCUGGAAAAGACCCUGAUGUUGGGAAAGAUGGAGGGCACAAGGAGAAGGGGAUGACAGAGGACGAGAUGGUAGGAACAUACUGCGGGAGGCGGUGGAGGACAGGGGUGCCUGGUCCAUGGGGUCGCGAAGAGUUGGACACGACUAAAUGACUAAACAACAACAACAACAACAAAGGACCGGGAUGAAGGUAAAACGCAGUCUGGAGUGAGGGGCAUGGGCAUAGCCAGGAUUUAUGGGGGGGGGGGGGUUGGGGGGACCAGAACCUCAGUUAGUUAAGUAUUGAUUGACUUGAUUGGGAAGCAGGGCAGCUGCCCCUCCUUGUCCCCCCUGCCAGGGUGAGGGGUUGUUAUUGUUUCAUUAAUAUUAACCUACAAUGGCGUAUUAAAAUGCGAGGGUUUUUUGGGGGGGGGAGGACUUACUGGGCUGUUCUUGAUUUUUUUUUUGAUUCUGCAUUUUGUGUUUUUGUAUUGUGGCUUCAUCCCAUGAACCACCCUGAGACCUGCGGGUGUACAAAUUUGAACGAAUCUACAAAUCAGCUCGCGGGGUUUCAUCCACCUGGGAAGGCAGCCCAUCUAAGAGAAGGAAAACUCUCUUCCUAAACCUCCACUGCCUUGCAGGACAUCUUCAGGAGAAGAACAAGCUAAGGAGUCCCUAAGGUGGUUGGGUGGUGCUGUGAACUGCUGGCAACUCCUGCAGCCAAGCUGGUGCUAAAUGUCUUGCUCUGCUUUCCUUUGGACCACAUCAGUGAGGCUGAGAGGGGGGUUUUAUUGUCUGGGCAGCCCAGGACCUCCAGGCAAGCUGCCCAGGCUUGUGCCUAGUUGAGGUCACUUUGGUGCUGCCAAUAUAGUGGUUUGACUUCGGAGAGGGCUUUACACUUGGCAACAAAGUCACAGUAAAAAAAAUAUUAAUGUGUGUUUUUCUUCUUUUUCUUUUAAAGCAGGCCAGAGCUACCAAAAAGCAAUAUUGACAUCCCAAAAAUCCAAUGUCAUUUUGAAAAUGCUCUGAUGAGGUCAGUUAAGUAAUCAUGGCCGUGGAUGGAAAUGUGUUGAGAAUUAGACUGCAGCAAUGUUUACAUAGGAAGCACCAGGUCAACGGGCAGAGGAAGGAGUGGGGUUUGACCUGUUACGGGUGGAGCUUGGUGAAUUUUUGGUGGUUCACUGACUGGAGUCUCUUGCAGAUUUGGUUUGAGAUAAUUUAUUUUCUCAGUGAUACUGAAAAUCAAAUCAGUCGGGGCCUGCUGAUUAAAAUGUACUGGAAGGAAAAGCUGUGUUGGUUUUGUUUUGUUUUUGUGAGUUUUAUCUUCAGAAGCAAAGAGCAGUAGGAUUUACCAGCUUUUGGGAAUGGUAACUAAUAUUUUAGUUUGUGGCAACUUUUGCUCCUACUGCAUUUUCCGUUGACCACUGCUGGACUGCAUCUGAGCCCAGUGUCUUCCAUACUAGGCUUUCCUUAUUUGUAUACAAUUUCUCUCCUGGAGACUGAUUUUCUGAAGUUACUCUCCCCAAGUCUAUAUACCCAUGUUAAAUAUUUACUCCUUUUCGACUGCUGUCUUUCCUCGCCCCCACCUUCUUCCAUUUCCCCCAUGCAUAACCUUCUCACCUGGCCAUUGCACAAAAAUGGAAGAUACUGGAGGGUUUGAAUUUAGACUUGUGAUAUUGCAGUGCAUGGGAUAUACUGGUGUCUGAGAGAAAGACUCAGGCAAGAAAACUCCAGACAGAUUUUAUGUCCUAUGGCACACAUUUAUUGAAACUUUUCAUCAUGUGGAACAGAAACACAAAUAUGAGUUUGGCUGUUCUGCUGACAAAUACUUUGGGACUAUAGCUUUUGAAUGGAUACGCCUUUUGAAUGGACAUUUAUAUCUUGAUUUUGCGGGACUUGAAGGAAGCAGAGGAGAUGAGAGACAUACUAAAUUGCAUUGGCUGUGCAUUUGGUUGUGACAACUCUUUUCUUGCUGUAUUUGCUGAAGGAUCUGGCUAAUUUCAUAUGCAACUUAACACACUUGUUGUUGUUCUUGUUUGUUUCCUGCUUUAUUUGUUUACUGUUUGACCAAUACAGCAUUUGAAAACGACAACAAAUUUAGUAGGGGCAGCACAGAAAAAUAAAUAAAGAACUGCAUGAUCUUAUCUGAUCAACUGCCUGCUGCUUAUGCAUUUUGGAAAAUUUCCUUAACACUCAGUUAUCUUCCAGGCAACACUUUCAGAGUGCUUGGUAAUGUCCAUCAGGAAACAAGGUCUGGAUAAACACUUCCUACAGGACGUUGCCACUGCCACUUUGGCAUUUCCUUCCCUUUAUUUGCCCCACCAGCACAAGGGCUAUUUGCCACUUCUAUCAUCUCUAUUGAUGCUUCACAUGUUUGUGUGGGUGAGGAGCUGGGCUGUGAUUUGUCUUCCCAUGCAAAUAAAUGCUAUUUGGAUUAUGAGUAUGUUUAAAUUUUAAAAUAGACACUGGUGCUAUGUUUCCUAAUGCUAAUCACCUAAAAGGUUAAUUUGAAAUUAAUCAGUUUGCCUGGCAUUUUAUCCAUUCGUAAUAGCACAAAUUGUUUUUUUUAUAAAACUGUACCUUUUUUAAAAUAAAAAAAAUGUUCUGCAGAAAAAUAUAGUAGUAGGACAAUGUCCAUUCUAUAUUCCUUUUAAUAUGCACAUUCAUAUUUCUUUUGGUUUGGUUUCUGCUCCCAGGGCUUUGAAACAUUGCAGAAACUGCAAGUCUUGUUUACUAGAGGCAAAGGUGGGGUGAAUAUGCACAGCACUGGCAGCAAACCUUCUUUCUCCCUUCAGCUCCUUGUCUCCAGGCUAAAGCUGUGGUAGGAAAACAUGAUUUCUCUCAACUUGCCAAUAUCUGAAUUUGCCUUUGUUAAUACAGACUGUGAUUUCAAUAUAAAACAAG